UUAUUCCAAUAAUAUACUUGACAAGCGCUAAUCUGGUAUUUCCCCUCAAUAAAUUUGGGAAAUGUAAAAAUCUUUGUUUUAAAUACAUUUUACUUUAUUCGAACGUCAUUUUAUGCAUGGAAUGUGGCUUCUUGUUAAUGCGGAACCAUCUUUAAAAAACGAAUUCUUAAUAACUUCUACUUAGUAUUUUCACUUCGGAUGCUGCCGAUUAUAAACCAAGAUACAGAAAGCAUCUUCUCCCAAGAAAUUUGGAAGAUUUACUCAAAACAAGGGCGCUAAUUCCCAGCCUGAAGUAAAGUGAAAGACAUUAAUAGUCCAACGCCCAGCAGCAUUAACGGCAGAGUAUGCAGGCAAAUAAGG